UAGAAAGCAAGAGUGGCAUUUAUAAGAUUGUUCCAAACUACAAAAGAACUACAGUAAGAUCUGUGAGAAACUCAACUAAAGAAGUGAUUAAUUGUUUUUGGAAAAUCCACUAGCUGAGUGAAAAUGCAAACGAAAUCUUUCAAUGCGGUAGCAGUAAUGAGUUUAUUGCCCAGUGCUUAUCUUAACACUGUUUGCCAAAAAGGGAACACAAGGUACACUGACCCUGUGUAUGUAUUGUUAUUUUGAUGAUCUCCAGCGAUUUCCCAACGCAAUAAAAAAUUUGAGCCAAGCCGAAUAUGCGCUCAUCGUCCCGCUUCUUCAGGAUGUAUUCAUAGGAGUAAAGUAAUACUAGUAUUGCGUAGGCAAUACUGAAUAUCACGCCCUACGCUUACUUACUCACAGUUCAAUCAACAAGAAAGACUGGAGGCAAUGACACCAACAUAAGGAAAGCUCAAUUUUUAUAAUAUGUCACACGCAAAUGUGGAAAAUUAAUGGAAGAUGAUUGGAUGAAUCCUUCCUUAAGUUUAUAAUUGAUGAUUGUUU